GUACACGCUGUGACUAGCAUAUCAAUAAGCGGAGGAAAAGAAACUAACAAGGAUUCCCUCAGUAACGGCGAGUGAAGCGGGAAGAGCUCAAAUUUGAAAUCUUGAAAGGUCACCUUUCACGAAUUGUAGUUUAAAGAAGUGUUUUCUGUUACGAUCGUAAUAUAAGUUCUUUGGAAUAGGACAUCACAGAGGGUGAGAAUCCCGUCUAUGAUUGCGAUUUGUAGCUUUGUGAUACACUUUCAAAGAGUCGGGUUGUUUGGGAAUGCAGCCCAAAACGGGAGGUAAAUUUCUUCUAAGGCUAAAUAUUGGCGAGAGACCGAUAGCGAACAAGUACCGUGAGGGAAAGAUGAAAAGAACUUUGAAAAGAGAGUUAAAUAGUACGUGAAAUUGUCAAAGGGGAAGCGUUUAACACCAGUGUUGUUUUCUGAAAAUCAACCUCUGUUAGCUUUAUGCAUGUUUGUUUAGACCUAAUCAGCUAUCUUGCAUGUUCUAUUGUUUGCAGUGGUGCACUUUUCAGUUUACAGGUCAACACCAGUUUUUUUUACCGUAAAAAAGUUAAAGAAAGGUAGCUCAUGGCUCCGGUCGUGAGUGUUAUAGUCUUUUUCCUAUGCGGUAGGAGAGACUGAGGACUGCAGUGUAGGCUAUUUGGCUAGAUACUCAGGUGCUAUGUGAUACCAUUUCAUAAACAACUUGUUGAUUAUGUUUUGUCUAUUGCAUACUCGCUUGUACUAUCAUACCUACGCUUAGGAUGUUGAACUACUGAGACAUAGA
rnacentral:rRNA from 1 species